GCUUCGGUAGCUCAGUUGGUUAAGAGCGACCGGACCGGUAUUUCGAAAGGCCGCUAGUUCGAUUCUGGCCCGAAGCG